UACGUAGGCAGCAAGCGUUGUUCGGAAUUACUGGGCGUAAAGCGUGCGCAGGCGGUUUCUUAAGUCAGAUGUGAAAUCCCCGGGCUUAACCUGGGAAUGGCAUUUGGGACUGCAAGGCUUGAGUUUGGCAGAGGAGACUGGAAUUCCUGGUGUAGCAGUGAAAUGCGCAGAUAUCGGGAGGAACACCAAUGGCGAAGGCAGCUCGCUGGGACGGUACUGACGCUGAGACGCGAAAGCGUGGGGAGCAAACAGG
rnacentral:rRNA from 1 species